rnacentral:rRNA from 1 species
CAGCAGCCGCGGUAAUACGUAGGGUGCAAGCGUUAAUCGGAAUUACUGGGCGUAAAGCGUGCGCAGGCGGUUGUGCAAGACAGGUGUGAAAUCCCAGGGCUUAACCUGGGAACUGCACUUGUGACUGCACAGCUGGAGUACGGCAGAGGGGGAUGGAAUUCCGCGUGUAGCAGUGAAAUGCGUAGAUAUGCGGAGGAACACCGAUGGCGAAGGCAGUCCCCUGGGCCUGUACUGACGCUCAUGCACGAAAGCGUGGGGAGCAAACAGGAUUAGAUACCCUGGUAGUCCACGCCCUAAACGAUGUCAACUGGUUGUUGGGAAGGUUCCUUCUCAGUAACGUAGCUAACGCGUGAAGUUGACCGCCUGGGGAGUACGGCCGCAAGGUUGAAACUUAAAGGAAUUGACGG